AGACGAACCGUCCAAACGUUAUUCGGAAUCACUGGGCUUAAAGGGUGCGUAGGCGGCCGUACAAGUCGGGUGUGAAAUCCCUCGGCUCAACCGAGGAAUUGCGCCCGAAACUGUGCGGCUAGAGGAAGACAGAGGUGAGCGGAACUGGCGGUGGAGCGGUGAAAUGCGUUGAUAUCGCCAGGAACACCAGUGGCGAAGGCGGCUCACUGGGUCUUUUCUGACGCUGAGGCACGAAAGCUAGGGGAGCGAACGGGAUUAGAAACCCCAGUAGUCC
rnacentral:rRNA from 1 species